UACCCUCGAAUCCCGACCCUCUCGGGAUUCGGACCUUGGGAGCUUGCGGGCGUCCGUGGGACGUCGGCUCUCCUCGAAAGCAUCAGCGAGGGGGAAGGCACGAGCCUGGCGGCCUCUUUCGACGUCGUAAGGAUCGUCGGAGGUGUCGGAGGCGAGGUCGGAACUCGAGCCGGUAGCGUCGCGACGUCCAAG
rnacentral:misc_RNA from 1 species